AGCCAAUUGUUGUAAGCAACGCAUACUUAGAAAAGGAGCCGACGCAGUACCAUACGUAACUGUGUUCAACUUAUACAAUUGCAAAGGCAUAAAAAACGAUUUUUUGCCAUAGUGUACGAGUCCCCUAACAAUUCGGGUGACUCCUUUAAAGGAAUACGAACGAAAAAUCUACCAAACUCGUCACGUUUAGUAGUCUCUGUAAAUAACUUCUCACAAUAACGAUCAUCAUUCGACAUGAUAUUUGGUUUAAACGACUUAUUAAUAUGAAGAGGGCCAGAGAUGAUCCAUCCUAAUUUGGAAUCGUACAAAUAUGGACCACUGCUAAUUUUAAUCUUAUUAUUAUUUAAAAGAUCCCAAAAUAUGUCCGCUCCUAACAAUAUAUCAAUGUCCGACGAAACGCUAAACGUAGGGUCCGCGAGCGAAACAUGUUUAGGAAUCUGUAUACAUUUACAGUGAACGUCUAACGAAGGUAACUUCGAUGUUAUACGAGGAAGAACCCAACAUUGAAUAUUAGUAUUAAAAUCAUUAACUUU